CCCAUGCCAAGAACAGUUAUGAACAGGACUGCUGGCGUAGUUGGCGUGUUUGCGAUAAAAAGCUAGUUCCCGAUCUUUCGACGUUAGUUCCCCGUUCCUGCGCUCCGAUCGACGCCGAUCGGAUAGAGAAGUUGGAAGGAGGACCAGGGGGGGGGGGCGCCGAAAAACGUGAACGAUAAUAUUCGGCUCGUUCGAACUUGCGAGAAGGAUCGGAAGAAGAGAACUCUACGUACGGAUGUUGCGAAUCGAAUUCCAGUUUGUUCGGAAUCGAUAACGACAACGGGUCGUGAGAAAGAGAGAAGCGAAUCGAUGAAGGAAAUGUGCGGUUGGGCGGCCUGCUUCUUGUCUCUGCGCCGCGACGAAUUCCGUCGGAGGAGUCAGCCACUCACCGAACCUGACGAUCAACGAAGGAUUAUGGUCUCUCCUCUCGAAAUUCUAAUAUUAGCGCAGAGCAUUCUCCAGUCGAUACUCUAGACAUCCACCACCACUACCACUGGUUGGCACGCGCGCGCGAGCAAGCGAUCACGGAACGUGGUGCACGUACAUGCGUUCGAAGGCGUGUGCGUGGGGACCCGUGGUAUAACGUAGAGGCACACUGAGGAAAACGCUACAGCGUCACGGCGGCUCACCUUUCCACAAGACGAUUUCGCGGCCUAACGUGGUACAAGCUUCUGUCUCGGAAAGGACGAUCGCCGGCCACGGGAGAGUCAUCGCCACCGUACUGCCACGAUCAUACACGCGUUCUAAUACACACUUUUCCUCUGGCUCCUUUAACACCGCUGUUCGAACGUCGAAGCGCGCACACGCCGCACGGGCAUUACGCCACAAAACACGGAGCACUUGAUUAGAGGCGAAACUCUAACGUUUCCGAAGAUCUAAUUUUCCACUACGCAUGCGUAGGCUAGAGAAGCUACGAACUAUGGGAGAAGCGAAGUGGGAUACGAUUUAAAACAAACAGAAGACCUUUUACGAACGGUGUGGCGCUAUCUACAGCAACUCAUCGGCACUCGUUAAUCAUGUCAUCUCACGACACGAUCGGUAAAUCGAUUUUCAACUAAUAGUACAAAAGAUCGUGAUUUAUGACGCUUUGAAUAAUUAAUAAUAAUUAUUAAUAAUAAUAAUUACAGUAUCCAGCAUAUUAUUUGUGUACAUAUAAUUAAUAGGCGAUCUGCGUAGUAUUUUGUGCACUGAAUACAAAUCUAAAAGCCACUUUCCUUCAUUAGCGUUAGUUUUAGGCAACGUUAGUUUCAGAGAAGAUGGAACAUGUUCAAGCAAUUCUUGAAACGAACCAGAUGUCUAGCACAAAGAGUUUUAGAAAUUAAAUGAAGACAGGUUUUGUGAAAAUAGAAUUUACAAGAACAGAUUAAUUUUGCAGUAAGUAUUUUUCUACUUUCGAUGAAUAAGAUAGGAAGGGGAAAAUAUAUAAAAAAAAACGUUAAUAUCGUGAAGAUGAACAUUGUAAAAUAGUCUUACUAAUGGUCAGUAUGCAUAUCGGACACAGUGAGAAUGCUAAAUAUUUUCUGCACUAUCCUCAUUAAUCAACAACACUUUCUCUCGAGCGGAGAUAGUUGAACGUUAAACGUAAUUCGUGCAUGAUCCAACUUUCUGUAUGCUAUGUUAAGCUUUUGCGAUACAGACGAAUUCGAAUGUUUAAGAGUUCAAUUUCAUUCUUUUAUCUUUAGCGAUCAAUAAUUUUUGUUGCUACGUUUGACAAUUCAUUUCAAUCGACAAAUUAGACCGAAUCUUUAAUCUGUAUCUAGUGUACACUAAUUAAAUUGCAUCUUCGGUGUAUGCUAAAAAAAUAAUAAAUCUGCAACGUCAUUAUCAGAAGAAAAGUUAACGGUGAAGACAGUUUUAUUUCCCAAUCGAUGUAUGUCUUUAUCUCUUCCGUAAAGGUAAACGAGAAUGCAACGACUUUUUCCCGGCAGUGAGUAGAACCGGUUCAAGGGGUAAACCAGGUUUUGCCUUGCGCGUGAAAAACGCGAACAUUUUUUCGCGAAUAUGUCGCAAGAGGUCUAUGGCCUCAUGUUACUAUCUUUAUUAACUAUACGGGAUAUUUCAUAAUUCGUGGUACAAAUUGGGUCACAGAUAAAUUCUCUAACUGGAAAUAAGACGGAAAUCAAGACUAACGAAAUUGUAUGGAAGGCUUCGCGUUUUCAAGAACAUUAAAUUUAAAUAUCAAUCGAGUAUAUGCGUUCUUAACAAAUAACCAAUAUCAUGGAUUUCACUAUAGGCUGUUUGAACAUAAUGUUCCAAUUCGAUGCGAGUUGAGAAUAAUCAUAUUUUGAUAAUAAAAAUAUUUUGAUAUAUUUGUACCAUCUACAAAAAUGGUCGCAACAGCGGUUUGUAGACAUAAACUUCGAAUUGUUUCGCCUUGGAUUACCCGACUUCUUGGAACCAUUGGUAAAACGGCCAUCCUUCGUUGACGAUGUUUAUUGUUAGUUUUACCAUCGUUCGAAAUCUACCGCCACGCCGGUUCAUAGACAUUUGUAAUUGAGAGUUUAACUUAAAUCAACAGAUUAAAAUAAAAUUUAUUAUAUUAUUUGUGA